rnacentral:rRNA from 1 species
CUACGGGGUGCAGCAGUGGGGAAUAUUGGACAAUGGGGGAAACCCUGAUCCAGCAAUGCCGCGUGUGUGAAGAAGGCCUGCGGGUUGUAAAGCACUUUCGGUUGGGAGGACUGCUUCUAGCACUAAUAUUGUUGGAAGUUGACGUUACCUUCAGAAGAAGCACCGGCUAACUCCGUGCCAGCAGCCGCGGUAAUACGGAGGUGCAAGCGUUAAUCGGGAUUACUGGGCGUAAAGCGCGCGUAGGCGGCUAGAUCAGUCGGGUGUGAAAGCCCCGGGCUUAACCUGGGAACUGCAUCCGAUACUGUCUAGCUUGAGUACAGGAGAGGAGAGUGGAAUUCCAGAUGUAGCGGUGAAAUGCGUAGAUAUGUGGAGGAACACCAAUGGCGAAGGCAGCUCUCUGGCCUGAUACUGACGCUGAGGUGCGAAAGCGUGGGGAGCAAACAGGAUUAGAUACCCUCGUAGUC